rnacentral:rRNA from 1 species
CCGAUGCUUAUUCUUCAGGUACACGUCAUUUUGUUCCUCCCUGAAAAAAGAGGUUUACAACCCAUAGGCAGUCGUCCCUCACGCGAGAUUGCUCCGUCAGGCUUUCGCCCAUUGCGGAAAAUUCCCC